rnacentral:rRNA from 1 species
UACGUAGGGGGCAAGCGUUGUCCGGAAUCAUUGGGCGUAAAGAGCGUGUAGGCGGCCCGAUAAGUCCGCUGUGAAAGUCCAGGGCUCAACCCUGGAAUGCCGGUGGAUACUGUCGGGCUCGAAUCCGGAAGAGGUGAGUGGAAUUCCCGGUGUAGCGGUGAAAUGCGCAGAUAUCGGGAGGAACACCAAUGGCGAAGGCAGCUCGCUGGGACGUUACUGACGCUGAGACGCGAAAGCGUGGGGAGCAAACAGG